AUUAUUAUAGCUAGUCUAAAUACCAAUUCAUAGAGAGACAGAACUAUAUUAAUACACACACAUAUAUAUAUACACAAAUCACAACAAAAUCUUUCAUUAAUAAUUCAAAUUAAAAUAUCCAACAAACUAGUAAUCUAAAUCCAAAAAAAAAUAUUAAAGUCAAACCGUCAUUAGUUUUUCCAUAAAGUAUCAAGUUUGAGUGGCGAUAAGUUUCACAAAAUUAUCUAUCAAUAAUUCAAAAAAUUUCUCAAGUAAGGUCAAUUUCUUUAUCACUUUCUUCAUCUCCUCUUUCAUUUUGAACAUCUAUAAAAAGAGAAAAAAUAAUCUCAAUUAGUACUUAAUGACAACAUAUUUAAUUUUCAAUAACAUAGAAGAACACCUAUAAAUAGAGCAUAAACUAGAAAAAUGUUACCAAAUCUUGGUUGAUUCACACUAGAAUUUUUCUUUAUUUAAAAUGAUAUAGAAAAUCUAUUUCAAGAGUUGUUGAGGAAAAAAUUCCAUGCUCUUAAUCAUGAUAUACAGAACUUGGGUAAUUGUCUAUGAAAAAAAUGGCACUAUUAGUAAGAGAUGACUAAGCUUAAAUCUCUUCUGGCUCAGUCACUUCAUCUCUAGUAACAUCGUAACAACAUUCCUAUAAGUAGUUUAAGUACUCAGCAGAUUUUUGCCUCCUUAAUCAUUUAAUUUGCAGUGGUGCGCUAUUACUAAGUGGGGGUGUCUAUACCUUUCUUGACAAGAUUUUUCCAGUGAUGUCUAUGUAGCCUAAUCAACUAUUCACAUAGCAACAAUUGGAAUGGAGAUGAACUAUUUUCUCAUUACUGUUUAAGUUGCUUAUGCUCAAACAAUCACUAGUGAGUUACAUGGAUCAAAGCUCCGAACUAGUGAGCAAGAUAACGUACGGUGUGUUCACAACAUUUUCUUUCCUACAGCAGGUCGUAUAAGGUUGAACAUGUUGAUUGAUACCAUACUGGAUACAUCUCAAACUUGAAAUAAGAAAAACUUGAAUUAUGUAUUUAUGAGAAUGUAACAUCCAUGACAUCACUUGUGUAAAUAGAUCGCUUCCUAAGUGUCACACACACACCCUUCAUAGGCUCCAACUACCAGUAUCCAAUUAAGAGAACCAACAGCUCCUUUAUGAAGGCUCUAUUUAUGCAGAAAACCAACAACUCCAAGCUCCAUCAGGCUACCACCAGUGCUAUUGCUGAGAGAAAACUAAUAGGUCCAUUUAUACUGGUAUUAUGCUUGAAGGAUUGUUUUACAAGCUAACUUCUACAUUCACAAUAUUAUACACUAGAUCUCUUAUCCGGUUGGUCCUAACCAUGUCCAACUGCUGCAAAGACUUCACCUAUCCCUAAAUAAGCAAUCUAAACAGACUACAAACACUCAUCUUAUGAGAAAGGACAGAAAGACUAAGAAAUAAUCACUAUAGUGUAUGGAAACUUAAAGGAUGGAGGCAAAAAUUGUACUCACUCUUGGACUCUCCACAAGUGAGAUCGAUGACUAUACAUAGUUUCACAAAAAAAUCAAAAACUGCAGAAACCCAUCCAUUUUGUAUACAUUUCAAUUAAAAACAUACACCUAAUAAUAUAGAGAUGUUAAUGUAACAGUUAAGAUCUGGAUUAAGAUAUAUCCUUAAACUAGAAACAUUAAUAUUGUCCUUUCUCAUAUCACCUUUUGCUCACCCUUCACCCCUUACUACAUGAACCAUACACAACAUAAAACUGAUGGUAAAAUCAUGGCCGUUGGCCCAGAGAGAGAGAGAGGGAACUUCAGAAGGAAAAUUGGAAACUUAUACAACAUAUUCAAGCUGUGUUACUCGGACUCUUAAAAAUUAUAGCAGCACCGAUGUUGCGUCCUCCAAAAAUGUAUUUCUUUGAAGGACCCAACACACAUCCAGUGGCAUGUUUGAAGAGUUUGAGUAACAUAGUAGUAAACUAUAUGGCAUCACAGCAAUGGCGAGAAGAAGAAGAAAAAAAAGACACAGCUUCAUUGUUACUCCCAAUAAAUAGACGAUUGAUUUGUUGGAUAGCAGCCUCUUCCCUUGACGAAUGAGCAUUGAAUCUUAGCAUAUUAGGAUCAAGUGUUAAUCCUGGAUUUUGAUGUUGCAAUUGUUCAAUGAUGUUCAUUGUAACAUCUCGUUCAAUGGAAUCUCUUUGAGCAUGUAUUCUUUGUUGUAUCCUCUCUUCCAGUUCAUCCAUUCUCUUUUCUACCAAUUCAUCCGUAGCAAUAUUUGAAGAGGAUCCGGAAUCACUUAUUUUUUGUUUAAAAAGAGACUUGGUCACCCCGCGUCCGUAUAGUCUUACUCGACCUGGAUGAUCAGGAACCAUAACUGUUGUGAAUGCAUCAACUGAUUGACUAGCAUCUUCACUUUGUUGAGUUUCUACUCUCUCCAUUUCAACCUACAAGUCAGAUCCAAAACGAGCAAGAAAA
rnacentral:lncRNA from 1 species